rnacentral:rRNA from 1 species
CCUACGGGAGGCAGCAGUGAGGAAUAUUGGUCAAUGGGAGGAAUCCUGAACCAGCCAUGCCGCGUGCAGGACGACGGCUCUACGAGUUGUAAACUGCUUUUGUACCGGGGUAAAAUGCUCUACGAGUAGGGUUUUGAAAGUACGGUACGAAUAAGGAUCGGCUAACUCCGUGCCAGCAGCCGCGGUAAUACGGAGGAUCCGAGCGUUAUCCGGAUUCAUUGGGUUUAAAGGGUGCGCAGGCGGCGUGUCAAGUCAGCGGUAAAAUGUCGGGGCUCAACCCCGGCCGGCCGUUGAAACUGGCGUGCUCGAGUUGGAGAGAAGUAUGCGGAAUUCGUGGUGUAGCGGUGAAAUGCAUAGAUAUCACGAAGAACUCCGAUUGCGAAGGCAGCUCACUGGACUGCAACUGACACUGAGGCUCGAAAGUGUGGGUAUCAAACAGGAUUAGAUACCCUUGUAGUC